GACGAACGCUGGCGGCGUGCUUAACACAUGCAAGUCGAACGAGUGGCGAACGGGUGAGUAACACGUGGGUGAUCUGCCUUGCACUUCGGGAUAAGCUUGGGAAACUGGGUCUAAUACCGGAAAGUGAAAGAUGAGCUAGCGUCCUAUCAGCUUGUUGGUGGGGUACUGGCUACCAAGGCGCGAUCCGUAGCUGGUCGGAGAGGAUGAUCAGCCACACUGGAACUGAGACACGGUCCAGACUCCGACGGGAGGCAGCAGUGGGGAAUAUUGGACAAUGGGCGCAAGCCUGAUCCAGCCAUACCGCGUGGGUGAAUAAGCCCUUCGGGUUGUAAAGCCCUUUUGUGGGGAAGACGGUACCCAAAGAAUAAGCACCGGCUAACUUCGUGCCAGCAGCCGCGGUAAUAC
rnacentral:rRNA from 1 species